rnacentral:ribozyme from 1 species
UUUUUUUUUUUUUUUUUUUUUUUUUUUUUUUUCU